AGCGGGUGGUAAAUUCCAUCUAAGGCUAAAUACUGGCGAGAGACCGAUAGCGAACAAGUACUGUGAAGGAAAGAUGAAAAGCACUUUGAAAAGAGAGUGAAACAGCACGUGAAAUUGUUGAAAGGGAAGGGUAUUGCGCCCGACAUGGGGAUUGCGCACCGCUGCCUCUCGUGGGCGGCGCUCUGGGCUUUCCCUGGGCCAGCAUCGGUUCUUGCUGCAGGAGAAGGGGUUCUGGAACGUGGCUCUUCGGAGUGUUAUAGCCAGGGCCAGAUGCUGCGUGCGGGGACCGAGGACUGCGGCCGUGUAGGUCACGGAU
rnacentral:rRNA from 1 species